UUUUUUUUUGAUAAAAAUAACAGUUAGUCUAUAUUCAUCCACAGGUAUACUACCUCAAAAGUGUAGUUCCCCUCCAAAAGUGUUGUAGUUACAUAGGAUCCUAUACCUACCAAGUUACAGCCAGUCUAUAGUUGUGCUGAUUACUUCUGAGCUAUCUAAGACUACUUGUUUACACCAAAAAUAAUACAGGGCUAAACAUUUAAGCUUAAAUCUUUGUAUGUUGCUCUGCUUUCCUUCAUGACAUCUCUGGUUCCUCUCUAGCCAUACUGUCCACCAUAUACAUGAUGGGACCAUCUUCCAUCUCUCCUCCUUUCUUCCUGCAUUUCCAUCUCUAUUCCAGCACUUCAANNNN
rnacentral:lncRNA from 1 species